ACCCUNAUCCACCAUGCCGCGUGUGUGAAGAAGGCUUUUGGUUGUAAAGCACUUUAAGCAGUGAAGAAGACUCCGUGGUUAAUACCCACGGACGAUGACAUUAGCUGCAGAAUAAGCACCGGCUAACUCUGUGCCAGCAGCCGCGGUAAUACAGAGGGUGCAAGCGUUAAUCGGAAUUACUGGGCGUAAAGCGAGCGUAGGUGGCUUGAUAAGUCAGAUGUGAAAUCCCCGGGCUUAACCUGGGAACUGCAUCUGAUACUGUUAGGCUAGAAUAGGUGAGAGGAAGGUAGAAUUCCAGGUGUAGCGGUGAAAUGCGUAGAGAUCUGGAGGAAUACCGAUGGCGAAGGCAGCCUUCUGGCAUCAUAUUGACACUGANGUUCGAAAGCGUGGGUAGCAACAGGAUUANAUACCUGGUAUCCACGCCGUAAACGAUGCUACUAUCGUUGGGUCCUUGAGGACUUA
rnacentral:rRNA from 1 species